rnacentral:tRNA from 1 species
CUCUAGGUAGCCAAGUUGGUUUAAGGCGCAAGACUGUAAUGUUUCCUUAGGAAAACAAGUAAUCUUGAGAUCGGGCGUUCGAAUCGCCCCCUGGAGA